rnacentral:lncRNA from 1 species
GUUUCUAAACAGUUUGAAUGAAUCUUUCUCGACCAUCAAGUCUCAAAUUACCUUUAUAGACCCUAUACUUAUAGUAGACAAAGUUUAUAGCAUGGUCCUUAGAGAAGAGGCACAAAGAAACAUGUUCCUUCAAUCUCAACCUUUUCUUGAAUCCUCAGCAAUGCUUGUAACCACAAAUGUUAAGAAGAAACCAAGAAAGGACUUGACAUAUUCUCACUAUGGUAAAAAGAGCCCUGUAAAAAAGAAAUGUUACAAGCUAAUUAGUUUUCCAAAAGAUUUCAAGUUGAUUAAAAGGAAGCCAUAUGUUAAGAAAGGAGCAGUUGUGAAUAAUGUUUGUGCAGUUACUAAGUAGCAGAUAGAUGACACUCAAGCUAAUCAUGUGGGGGAGGAAGGAAGUUCUAAUUCUAUGUCUCAAAUGUCUAUGUUUAAGCAGCAGGUUAAUAGGUUAAUGGAUCUUUUAAACGAGAAUGGUUUGAUCAGCAAUGAUGGUAAGAGUAUCCUGAAAAACACUCAACCCAGCAAACAUUCAUUUGUCAAUUUUGCCUUUGCAGGUAUAGUAUCUGAUCUUCCUUAUUUUAACACACACAACAACUUGCCAAAUGCAUUCAAGCAUGUUAACACUGUCAUGAUUAAACAAGGAUAUUGGAUCAUGGACUCAGGUGCAAUUGAUCAUAUAGCUUAUUCCUUAGACAAUUCCAUCCAAGUUAAUCUAGUAGAAAAUUAUUUUGUUCAAUUACCUAAUGAUAGGAAAACAUUAGUUUCUCAUGUAAGGUUAGUCAGAAUAUGCUCUUCAUUGGUCCUAUAUGAUGUCCUCUAUGUCUCAAGUUUUAAAUUCAAUCUGAUUUUAGUAGGAAAACUUACCUGCACCAAGAAAAAUUGUGUACUAUUCAUUGACUCACAUUGUAUUGUUCAGGACAUUUUUUCUUGGAUAGUGAUUGGGGUUGCUAGGGCAUCUUCAGGGUUAUAUCUGAUGCAAAAUAGAAAAGAUGAUAAAGACAUAUCAAAAUUUUAUUUUGAUAAAGUUGUAAAGUUUCCC